rnacentral:rRNA from 1 species
GACGAACGCUGGCGGCGUGCCUAAUACAUGCAAGUAGAAGUUGAGAACGGGUGAGUAACGCGUAGGUAACUGCCUCACAGGGGGGGAAAACUAUUGGAAACGAGAGCUAAUACCGCAAUCUGUGAGCCGGCCCUGCGUUGUAUUAGCUAGUUGGCGAGGUGACGGCGCACCAAGGCGACGAUACAUAGCCGACCUGAGAGGGGAAUCGGCCACACGGGGAUGGGGACCCGGCCCAGACUUCUACGGGAGGCAGCAGUAGGGAAUCUUCGGCAAGGGACGGAAGUCUGACCGAGCAACGCCGCGAGAGUGAAGAAGGGUUUCAGAUCGUAAAGCUUUGUUGUUGGGGAGGCGGUAACUAACCAGUAAGGGACGGCUAACUACGUGCCAGCCGCCGCGGUAAUUC